AUUGAACGCUGGCGGAAUGCUUUACACAUGCAAGUCGAACGGCAGCACGGGGGCAGCCCUGGUGGCGAGUGGCGCACGGGUGAGUAAUACAUCUGAACGUGCCCGGUCGUGGGGGAUAACGUAGCGAAAGAUCCGCUAAUACCGCAUACGAUCUGCGGAUGAAAGCGGGGGACCUUCGGGCCUCGCGCGAUCGGAGCGGCCGGUGUCAGAUUAGGUAGUUGGUGGGGUAAAGGCCUACCAAGCCGACGAACUGUAGCUGGUCUGAGAGGACGACCAGCCACACUGGCACUGAGACACGGCCCAGACUCCGACGGGAGGCAGCAGUGGGGAAUUUUGGACAAAGGGCGCAAGCCUGAUCCAGCCACUCCGCGUGCAGGACGAAGGCCUUCGGGUUGUAAACUGCUUUUGUACGGAACGAAAAGGCUCUGGCUAAUACCUGGGGCUCAUGACGGUACCGUAAGAAUAAGCACCGGCUAACUACGUG
rnacentral:rRNA from 1 species